AUUGAACGCUGGCGGCAGGCCUAACACAUGCAAGUCGAACGGUAACAGGAAACAGCUUGCUGUUUCGCUGACGAGUGGCGGACGGGUGAGUAAUGUCUGGGAAACUGCCUGAUGGAGGGGGAUAACUACUGGAAACGGUAGCUAAUACCGCAUAACGUCGCAAGACCAAAGAGGGGGACCCUCGGGCCUCUUGCCAUCGGAUGUGCCCAGAUGGGAUUAGCUUGUUGGUGGGGUAACGGCUCACCAAGGCGACGAUCCCUAGCUGGUCUGAGAGGAUGACCAGCCACACUGGAACUGAGACACGGUCCAGACUCCUACGGGAGGCAGCAGUGGGGAAUAUUGCACAAUGGGCGGAAGCCUGAUGCAGCCAUGCCGCGUGUAUGAAGAAGGCCUUCGGGUUGUAAAGUACUUUCAGCGGGGAGGAAGGGAGUAAAGUUAAUACCUUUGCUCAUUGACGUUACCCGCAGAAGAAGCACCGGCUAACUCCGUG
rnacentral:rRNA from 1 species